rnacentral:rRNA from 15 species
ACGCAGCGAAAUGCGAUACGUAAUGCGAAUAGCAAAAGUCAGCGUGAAUCAAUAAAACUUUGAACGUAUCUUAACCUUCCGGG